rnacentral:rRNA from 1 species
UACGAAGGGGGCUAGCGUUGCUCGGAAUCACUGGGCGUAAAGGGUGCGUAGGCGGGUCUUUAAGUCAGGGGUGAAAUCCUGGAGCUCAACUCCAGAACUGCCUUUGAUACUGAAGAUCUUGAGUUCGGGAGAGGUGAGUGGAAUUCCGAGUGUAGAGGUGAAAUUCGUAGAUAUUCGGAAGAACACCAGUGGCGAAGGCGGCUCACUGGACCGUUGUUGACGCUGAGGUGCGAAAGCGUGGGGAGCAACAGGG